GAUGAACGCUGGCGGCGUGCCUAAUACAUGCAAGUCGAGCGAAGCGGGGACGGGUGAGUAACACGUGGAUAACCUCCUAUAAGACUGGGAUAACUUCGGGAAACCGGAGCUAAACCGGAAACUGAUAGAUGGAGAUGCGCUGCAUUAGCUAGUUGGUAAGGUAACGGCUGACCAAGGCAACGAUGCAUAGCCGACCGGAGAGGGUGAUCGGCCACACUGGAACUGAGACACGGUCCAGACUCCUACGGGAGGCAGCAGUGGGGAAUCUUCCGCAAUGGGCGAAAGCCUGACGCAGCAACGCCGCGUGAGUGAUGAAGGUCUUCGGAUCGUAAAACUCUUUUAGUAGGGAAGCGGUACCUACUCAGGAAGCCCCGGCUAACUCCGUGCCAGCAGCCGCGGUAAUAC
rnacentral:rRNA from 1 species